UGUGUGUGUGUGUGUGUGUGAGUGUGUGUGUGUGUGUGUGUGGUGUGUGUGUGUGUGUGUGUGUGUGUGUGUGUGUGUGUGUGUGUGUGUGUGUGUGUUGAAGGUAACAGCUGGUAUUUCCUGUUAACUCUUCUGAGUUUGUAGUUGGUAAAGAGAGAAAGAGAGACAGAAACAAAGAUGCACAGCAACAACAAUACUAGCAGAAAGAACUAAUAAUGAUGAUGAUAACAGCCACAACGAUGGGGAACAAUAAUAGUAAUAAUAACAACAAUUAUAAUAAUAAUAAUAAUAAUAAUAAUAAUAAUAAUAAUAAUAAUAAUAAUUAAAGCUGCAAGCAGCGAUGGACGGGACCUCGCACUCCACGGAACUCGGGGUGUGCUGCGGCCGCGUCACGUGCCGUCGUAACACGUGCGGACCACGACAUGAAAAUCUCACGUAAAUCGGCUCAAAAUCGCCGCGCAGCACUUACUUCCUGUUACCACUAGGUGGCGUUAUAACUAUGUGUUCAGGGCGGGACUCUUAUCAGACAAGAGAAGUUUGGAGCCGAUUGGACAAUGUACACUCAAGUUAUAGCAAAAUUCGUGUUUUGUGGCGAUACAUAAAAAUUUCCUGCCAUGCCACAGACACGCCCCCUCACCACAGUCAACACCUGUUGUGUGUGUGACGUGCUACGGUUCUUGUCGAUCCUGGUGGAGCCUCCUGCCAUGGUCCUGCUAGAUUGCCAUUGCCAAUACUGUUGUUGCUGUGCACCUGUCUGUCUAUCUCUAGCUCUCUCUCUCUCUGCCUCUCUCUCUCUCUCUCUCUCUCUCUCUCUCUCUCUCUCUCACCCCAACUGGUCGAGACAGACGACCACCCACCUAGAGCCGGAGGAUCUGUCCUAGGUUUCUGCCUUUUAACAGGCAGUUUUUCCUUGCCCUUGUCGCCAAGUGCUUGCUCAUGGUGGUACUGUUGGGUCUCUGUAAUUUAUGUGUUAAAGAGUUCGGUCUAGACCUGCUCUAUUUGAAAAGCGUCCUGAGAUAACUUCUGUUAUGAAUUGGCGCUAUACAAAUAAAAUUGAAUUGAAUUGAAUUGAA